rnacentral:rRNA from 1 species
GACGAACGCUGGCGGCGUGCCUAAUACAUGCAAGUAGAACGCUGAAGAAAGGAGCUUGCUUCUUUUGGAUGAGUUGCGAACGGGUGAGUAACGCGUAGGUAACCUGCCUUGUAGCGGGGGAUAACUAUUGGAAACGAUAGCUAAUACCGCAUAACAGCUUUUGACACAUGUUAGAAGCUUGAAAGAUGCAAUUGCAUCACUACGAGAUGGACCUGCGUGGUAUUAGCUAGUAGGUAGGGUAACGGCCUACCUAGGCGACGAUACAUAGCCGACCUGGGAGGGUGAUCGGCCACACUGGGACUGAGACACGGCCCAGACUCCUACGGGAGGCAGCAGUAGGGAAUCUUCGGCAAUGGGGGCAACCCUGACCGAGCAACGCCGCGUGAGUGAAGAAGGUUUUCGGAUCGUAAAGCUCUGUUGUAAGAGAAGAACGUGUGUGAGAGUGGAAAGUUCACACAGUGACGGUAACUUACCAGAAAGGGACGGCUAACUACGUGCCAGCCGCCGCCGUAA